rnacentral:rRNA from 1 species
AGCUCCAGUAGCGUAUAUUAAAGUUGUUGCAGCUAAAAAGCUCGUAGUUGGAUCUCGGGUCGUUGGUAGGGGUUCAGGUUCAUGCCUGCUUACUCCUGUCAAUACCUAACUGGUGGGACGCUGUGGGUGCCCUUGAUUGGGUCGCCUACUGCACCCGCUCAAUUUACUUUGAAAAAAUUAGAGUGUUCAAGGCAGGCUCACACGCCUGUAUAAUGGUGCAUGGAAUAAUGGAAUAGGAUCUCGGUUCUAUUUUGUUGGUUUUCGGAACUAGAGAUAAUGAUUAAGAGGGACAGACGGGGGCAUUCGUAUUGCGGUGUUAGAGGUGAAAUUCUUGGACCGUCUGAAGACUAACUACUGCGAAAGCAUUUGCCAAGAGUGUUUUCAUUAAUCAAGAACGAAA